GAACAACAAGAGAAACCACAUCACUCUCUAAUUCCGGGUCAAGGGUUUGAUCAAGAAUGCGCGUUUCCUGGUGGGUUUUGACUUUGGGAGUGUUAAAUAUCAAGAGAGAUUCAAGCAAAGAGAGAUCUCAGGGCACGCUCCCAACCCUCGACCCUCUCAGGCUCCCCUGCAUGGUUUUGCUUCAGUUGCUUAAAAGGAAGGGAAAACUCUCCAUCAAGAUUGCCUUCUCCAUCGGGAUUGGCUGCUCUUUUUACAUCGUCCGAUCUUACGUUAUAGAAGAUUGGAAUCACCACGAGUUUCUUUUCCUUCAUCUGUUCAUUCAUCGUCACAAGCUCAUCCAAACACCACUUUGACUCACAGUACCUCUUGGAGAAGAUAGCAAGCGCGAUUUUUGACUUCUUGAUCCUUGUGAAGAGAUAUUGUAGUCUUCUCCCUUUCUGCUCUUUAGUGUCUAUGAAGACGUUGAUCCCUGCGUUUCUUAAUUGCAGCUCUAGAUGGUUGACAAAGAUUUCGCGCAGCUCAUCUCCUCGGAAGUUGAUAAACACCUGAUCAGAAAGAGGUUCUUGGACCUGCUCAUCCAUUGGAAUGGUGUCUAGGUUCGUCUGAAUAAAAAAUAGUGAAUAUAGUUGGUGAGAGACUUUGUUGU